rnacentral:rRNA from 1 species
AACGUAAGUGGCGAGCGUUAUUCGGAAUUAUUGGGCGUAAAGGGCGUGUAGGCGGAUAUGGAAGUCGAUGGUGAAAAGUUAGUGCUUAACAUUAAGGAUGCCAACGAUACUCUAUAACUAGAGUACGGGAAAGGAGAGCGGAACUACCAGUGUAGCGGUGGAAUGCGUAGAUAUUGGUAGGAAUGUCAAUGACGAAGGUAGCUUUCUGGACCGAUACUGACGCUGAGGCGCGAAAGCUAGGGGAG